GAGGGUAUAGAUCAGUGGUAAACUGCAUGCCUAGCAUGCAUGAAGUCCUGGGUUCAAUCCCUGUAUCUCCA
rnacentral:tRNA from 1 species